UCGAGAGGCUUCGGCAAUGGGGGAAACCCUGACCGAGCGACGCCGCGUGAAGGAUGAAGUAUUUCGGUAUGUAAACUUCGAAAGAAUAGGAAGAAUAAAUGACGGUACUAUUUAUAAGGUCCGGCUAACUACGUGCCAGCAGCCGCGGUAAUACGUAGGGACCAAGCGUUGUUCGGAUUUACUGGGCGUAAAGGGCGCGUAGGCGGCAAUUCAAGUCAUCUGUGAAAUCUCCGGGCUUAACUCGGAACGGUCAGAUGAUACUGCUUUGCUAGAGUGCAGAAGGGGCAAUCGGAAUUCUUGGUGUAGCGGUGAAAUGCGUAGAUAUCAAGAGGAACACCUGAGGUGAAGACGGGUUGCUGGGCUGACACUGACGCUGAGGCGCGAAAGCCAGGGGAGCAAACGGGAUUAGAUACCCAUGUAGUCCCUGAGCGGGCUGGCAAGGCGCAU
rnacentral:rRNA from 1 species